CUGACAACCCUGGAGACCAGAGUUCUCUAUUAAUCCACAGAACAUGAAACACGCACAGACACAGUGCAAACUUCCCCAAACUGUCUUGCUAGCAUGACUCACUUUGUAUGAACUACUUCACAGGAGAGAAAGUAAUCCAGUAUUCAUGCAGUUCAAUCUUUAGUUUCU
rnacentral:sRNA from 1 species